rnacentral:rRNA from 1 species
UACGUAGGGUGCAAGCGUUGUCCGGAAUUAUUGGGCGUAAAGCGUCCGCAGGCGGUCUAUCAAGUUCGGGGUGACAGUGCUCGGCUUAACCGAGUAAGUGCUUCGAGAACUGGUGGACUUGAGGGCUUCAGAGGAAAGCGGAAUUCCGGGUGGAGUGGUGAAAUGCGUAGAUAUCCGGAGGAACACCGAUGGCGUAGGCAGCUUUCUGGGAAGCAUCUGACGCUCAGGGACGAAAGCCAGGGGAGCGAACGGG